rfam:Syntrophomonas wolfei subsp. wolfei str. Goettingen, complete genome.
GGGGGCGUACUGGUUUCGACGGGGGAUAAGAUGGGUUGAGCAGCGAGCCGAGUUGUCGCCAGCUCGUUAAAAAGGUGAAAACUUAAAUUAACUGCAGAAGAUAAUUUUGCAUUAGCCGCUUAAGCGGCUCGUCCGGCCAGGUUUCCUAACGGCCUGGUGCAGGGCGUCACUUAGUUAGGGUACCCUUAAGCCUUCUUUCUCGAGGGGUUUUAUGGGGAAAACAAUCGGGGAUAGCUUGAAGGGAGCCUGUCCGCGGGCGCCCGGAUGGCGAAGCUCAAAACACGGACUGCGCUCGGAGAUACUCAGCUGGUCUUUCUUGCGGACGGGGGUUCGACUCCCCCCGCCUCCACCA